rnacentral:lncRNA from 1 species
AUGGAAGUCUGGUCCCCAGGGGUGAAGGGGCACAUCCAGUCCACAGCGCUCUUGGCAGGAAGGUUGGCAGUGCAGGUUGUCUGGGGAUCCAAACCCAAGGCUCUUCCUUUGACUCCUCACACAGUGCUUCUGGGGCACACCACCAGCCUGUCGGUGAGGACUGUGGCAAGUCACCCACUGCCUCAGUUUCUUCAUCUGUGAAGUGGUACAGUCACGCCUGUCUAGAAACAACGGCCAGCCCUUUAGUGAGCAGUGUGCACCACUAGUGCAUAGACUGUGGUCUCUAUUAUUUUCCUUGAAAAAUACACAGCUGAUUCUGCUUCUGGGCUGAGAACGUACAAUAUGUACUGAGACUAUUUUCCACUGCCACAAAUCAAGGACAACAUUGUGUCAGAGGGACAUGAAGAGACUAUCGUUGGUCAAAGUCAACAAUUUGAGCACCGGUAAAGAAAAUAAGUGUAGUGAGUCGAAAAUCAUCAAACAUACUUAAAUCCUUAAAUUCAUGACUAUAUACAUUUACAUGAACAAACUUAGUGAUCAACUUUGGAAGAUGUUAGGAAAUCAACUGGUUAUUUUGAAAACUGGGAUCAAAUAUACUGAAAUGUUUACAGAUGGAAACAGUAUGAUGUCUGGGAUUUGGUUCAAAAUAAUGGUAAG